CCUUGAACCUCUGGGCUCAAGCAAUCCUCCUACCUCAGCCUCCUAAACAACUGGGAUUAGCAGCUGAAGUGCUUCUCAGAACCACUGUAGAAGAAUGCACUAGGCGGCGGCAUCUGGCUUGUAAAAAUAAAUACAGUGACUGGUUUUCCCAAAUAACUUGGCCUAAUCAUCGAGUGCUCCUGAAAAGACUGUCUCCCGAGACGUGCAAUCUACAGAGCGAUCUAUUCCACAGUCCAGGCACUGAGAGGGCACCUACGUAGGUUGAAUUACAGACCCCAGAGUGUCUGCACUGAGAGCAUGGACUGGCUCUUGACUCUGGAGAGUCAGAUGUUUCUUGUGGAGGUUGGAUUGCCAGUGCUGGUCGUUUCCUUCAAACAGAUUUGUUAUGACUCAGGUAUGUGCAGACUGGAUCAUUGGAGGGCAUGCACUAGCAGGAGCUUUGACGUUUUUUCAGAUUAGUUUUAUAACUUAAAAUCAGAACGAAGGUUGAGAGUAUUGUUUAUCAAA